rnacentral:rRNA from 1 species
UACAGAGGGUGCAAGCGUUAAUCGGAAUUACUGGGCGUAAAGCGAGCGUAGUCGGUUAUUUAAGUCGGAUGUGAAAUCCCCGGGCUCAACCUGGGAAUUGCAUUCGAUACUGGAUAGCUAGAGUUUGGCAGAGGGAAGCGGAAUUUCUGGUGUAGCGGUGAAAUGCGUAGAUAUCAGAAGGAACAUCAGUGGCGAAAGCGGCUUCCUGGACCAGAACUGACGAUCAGGCUCGAAAGCGUGGGGAGCAAACAGG